rnacentral:rRNA from 1 species
GACGAACGCUGGCGGCGUGCCUAAUACAUGCAAGUCGAACGCAGUGGGGACGGGUGAGUAACACGUGGGUAACCUCCCAUCAGAGGGGAUAACACUUGGAAACAGGUGCUAAACCGAUACUGAUGGAUGGACCCGCGGUGCAUUAGCUAGUUGGUGAGGUAACGGCUCACCAAGGCCACGAUGCAUAGCCGCCCUGAGAGUGGGACUGGCAACACUGGGACUGAGACACGGCCCAGACUCCUACGGGAGGCAGCAGUAGGGAAUCUUCGGCAAUGGACUAAAGUACAAGCGGGCAAUCCGGCGUAAGUCAAGAAAGUAUUCGGUGCGUAAUGCUCUGUUGUUAGAGAAGCGGUAUCUAACCAGAAAGCCACGGCUAACUACGUGCCAGCAGACGCGGUAAUAC